AACUAACGCUGGCGGCGUGCCUAACACAUGCAAGUCGUACGAGAAAGCCGGCUUCGGCUGGUGAGUAAAGUGGCGCACGGGUGAGUAACGCGUGGAUAAUCUGCCCUUAAGUGUGGAAUAACGUACCGAAAGGUGCGCUAAUACCGCAUAAUGCCUGGCAACACAAGUUGUCCGGCCAAAGAAGGCCUCUGUUUACAAGCUUUCGCUUCAGGAUGAGUCCGCGUACCAUUAGCUUGUUGGUGGGGUAAUGGCCUACCAAGGCUGCGAUGGUUAGCUGGUCUGAGAGGAUGAUCAGCCACACUGGAACUGAGACACGGUCCAGACUCCUACGGGAGGCAGCAGUGAGGAAUAUUGGGCAAUGGGGGAAACCCUGACCCAGCAACGCCGCGUGAAGGAAGAAGGCUUUCGGGUUGUAAACUUCUUUUACCAGGGACGAAGAACGUGACGGUACCUGGAGAAAAGCCACGGCUAACUACGUGCCAGCAGCCGCGGUAAGCAUACUCGUA
rnacentral:rRNA from 1 species